GAUGAACGCUGGCGGCGUGCCUAAUACAUGCAAGUCGAGCGAACAGACGAGGAGCUUGCUCCUCUGACGUUAGCGGCGGACGGGUGAGUAACACGUGGAUAACCUACCUAUAAGACUGGGAUAACUUCGGGAAACCGGAGCUAAUACCGGAUAAUAUAUUGAACCGCAUGGUUCAAUAGUGAAAGACGGUUUUGCUGUCACUUAUAGAUGGAUCCGCGCCGCAUUAGCUAGUUGGUAAGGUAACGGCUUACCAAGGCAACGAUGCGUAGCCGACCUGAGAGGGUGAUCGGACACACGGGAACUGAGACACGGUCCAGACUCCUACGGGAGGCAGCAGUAGGGAAUCUUACGCAAUGGGCGAAAGCCUGACGGAGCAACGCCGCGUGAGUGAUGAAGGUCUUCGGAUCGUAAAACUCUGUUAUUAGGGAAGAACAAAUGUGUAAGUAACUAUGCACGUCUUGACGGUACCUAAUCAGAAAGCCACGGCUAACUACGUG
rnacentral:rRNA from 1 species